GUGUGCCUGUGUGUGUGUACUGUUCAGCACCAGGGACAGGUGUGUUUGCCUGUGUGUGGAUGGUGUUCAACACCCGAGACAAGUGUGUUUACAA
rnacentral:pre_miRNA from 1 species